UCGGUUUACAUUAGAGGAAAGGCCCAUGCUCUGCACGAGGACUAACCCUAAUUCACGUGUUCUCUCAUCCUCAACUCAUCCAAUCUUUAGCUCGGCCGAAACAGUUCUAAGGUCAUCUCCGGCAGCGUCGUUACCUCAUCAUACCACCGCUAAUCCCAUCCGCAGCUUUGUUGACCGACUGUGUUGUGACAUACCGGAGAAGGAAAUCCAAAGACGUUACACAUGUCCGUGGAGUCCAAACGUCGUUAAAGCUUUAACGCCAGCAUUAACAGCAGCUUCCCACUCCUCUCACGAUCUCAGAUUCAAUGCCUCUCUCAUCCCUUCAAUAGAGUGAAUCUGCGAGUAUAAAUAUUUAUGGUCAACUCUGAGGAAAAGACAAAGAAGAGCAAAGGUGACUCCUUUCUUGGCAUGUUCGUUGAAUCUUUGUCACUUCUUAAGAUUUCACGCACACACACAUCAGGGAUAGUGGAUAGUCAGGCUCUCAAGUCGCAUUCAUGAUGAUGCCACCAUAGACGAGAGAAGACAUAAAGCUAGCUACAGUUUUGAAAACAGUAAAGAACUUGAAUGUUGAAAUUCCAUAUGUCUACUUCAGCAAAGUACCUUCUCAUUACGGCGUUUCUUGCUUCAAGAAACCAACCCAGCAAUGCUAGAUUCCUGGAUGUUUGACUCCACAGAGGGCAUGGAUAAUCGUAAAAGAAAGCAGAAGUAAGUUUUAAAAACAGUAUAUGUGUUUCUGCUUUGGCGUAUGUUUCUUAACUGAAAAUUAUUUGAUUACUGAAUUUGAUGCAAGUGUACGUAUGAUAUCUGAAUAGAAUCUGAUGUUUUUUCUUGGUGAUGUUUCCUUCCCGGGCCUCUGAGAAAUGGAUGGAAAAGAAAGAACUUGCAGAGCAGGAAGCAGUCAAGAGCCUGAAAGCUUUCCGCUGGAGAGACUAUUGGCAAUGCUCCAGUGCGUGCGUUGUGUCUUUAGGAGAUUCUUCAUUUGGCGAAGAGGAAGUAGGAGAAAAAGAAGAUAUGGGGAACGACAAAGAGAAUAACAUGUUGUAUGGUAUUCUGCUUCAAGUGUUGAGUCUUGCAAAAUUCAUAAUCAAAAGCGGAAGCCGCCCGUUAGAAGGUUCUUUCAGGCACCGUUCCAUGGUGUCUCAUGAUCCGUCUCUGAAGGUUACGAGAAGCCUGAGCUUUCCACUGUCCAAAUACUUCUACAGCAAAGUGUGGCAAAAGAUUUGACAGAACUAGAGGUAUAUGUCUUUGUUUCUAAACACAAAAAUAAUGUGGUAUAUAUUCCUCGAAAAGUUGCGAUGUGGAUGCUAUGCAUCUAAUCAAGAUAGGCUUGAUUUUGUUAUGGGAUUCUACGACAUUAGAAUUUAGUAAGAGUAUAAGAAUAGCUAAAUAACUUCCAUCGUUGGCUUAUACAUAUGGCUUUGUUUUUUGUUUGAUUAAAUGGGCUAUAUAGUGGAUCUUAGACACUGAUGAUAGUGUAUUAGCGUUUUCGCCACUAUUUUGGACAAAAAUUCAAUUGCUAUGAAGGUGCGGCAGCGUAACCGUAGGCUGCAUGACUACUUUUAACACCAAUGAUCCACUUUAUCUCAUUCAAUACACUUAUGUACGAAAACUAAACCUAUAAAUAAGGGUGUUCGAUUCUCACAGAUUCAUCAAA